rnacentral:lncRNA from 1 species
ACCCCCGAAUUCAACUUAUUUUUGAAACUUUCUAGUUACGAUGACUUAACAGUGGCGUGAUGAACUCAUAUAUUGAAGAUCUGAUUUUAGACUUAAAAUCAUCCUUUGAACAUACAAUUUUGGACUGAGAUGGCAUCCAAUAGGCAAAAUAAAAUAAAAUAAAAAAUAAAAUCACAUGUGAAAGAGAUGAUUUUAGGUGAAAUCGCAUCUUCAACAUGCGAUUUUUCUUAUUUUUUUUUUCUCCCACGC